AAAGAUUCUAGCAAAAGUAACUGUUGAGUGUCCUAACCACGCAUCUGUGCUUGGUUUGUUAACUGCACAGUGGCAGAUAGGAAGGCACUCCAAAGGCUCACCACUAUUGCACAGAGAAGCAUUGGUUGCCUUCUCCUCUCUUUUGAAAAACUUUAUAGGUCUUGCAGCCUUAAGAAAGCAUUCUUGGGGAUCCAUCUCACCCAGCAUAUUUUUAUUUGAAUUAUUGCCAUCUGGCACACAGUACAGGAUUACAAAGAUAAGGACAAACAGACUAAAAGAUAGCUUUAUUCUAGAGAAAGAAAAACUAUUGUGAAUUUACACAGAGGCAUCCUGACUGAAAGAAGAGGGAUGGCCCUGACAGCAUAGUGAUGGCACUUGCUUGAAGGAAACAAGCAUUUGUGAAGGAGAGGAACCGGACCACUUGGAUGUCAUACUGAUGCCACCCACCAGAGAGAGAGAGAAAAUGGCCACCAAAGUGAUGCUGCCUACCAACAGAGUGACUGCUUUAUCUCCUCUUGAAGAAAAGAGGUACAUUGACCCAUCUGCUUUGUACUGCCAAGAGUUUUAAGAAGAAAGGAAACUCCAUGAUUAUCUCUUUUUAACCUGGACCAUAAAAGAAUGAUGAUUCCUUUCUUGUAAAUCUCCCUGCUGUGCUGUUGCUAUGAAUUCACUGGAAAUAAUGGUGUGGCAAGAGAGGCAUCCUGGCAGGUGUCUUCCACAGCACAGUCAGCCUUCUGAUAUGUUGAGAGAAAUGGAACUAGUUACUUUGCAGGGUACAGCUUCUUCCUAAGCUAUUGUAGCACUUAAAGUGGAAUUAUUACUUUUUCAGCCUCUGCCACCAAAUAGCUGUUGGGCAGACAAUGUGGAGUAUUUUUAAAUGGGGAAGAUGGUGCAAGGUGGCUUUCAUCCCCCAUGUCUAGGGUUGGAAAAGAAUUCAUGAAAUUGAUGAUUUCAACUAGAUUCUUUAAGUCUUUAAGCUUGUAUUUUCUGAGAUUCACUACAAGACAAAGAAUGUGUUGUGUCAAAAUUCUGGGUCUCCCCAUUCUUAGCCCAAUUUUUAACUAUGUAACUGCAAAAGUAUCAUGAAAAUACAGAGCUGCUUAUUUUGAUGAUUUGGAUAUUGAUUCAGGAAAACUCCAGAUUCCUUUUAAUAAGGCUGGCAGAAACAUAUAAGCAUUACAUAUUCCAGACAUCAGAAUAAUACUUUUGCCUAGCUAUGUUGAAUCCAUACCUAGCCUCUGAAUAUUAUUAUUCCUGUCUUUGGUGUAUUACAAAUCAAUUGAACCAUCUAAAAGAGUUAUGUCUGGAUUUAAAACAGCCAUCCAUUCGAUUCCAUCUCUACCCUACUGUAGCUUUAAGAUAACCCUGUAAUGGCAGAGUUGCACCUUCAUUGGCAAUUCAUAACCCACUCUGUGCAACGGGUGCAAGCUUCAGUGCUUGCAAAAAUGGGAAGGGAGUCAGCAAAUUAAAAUGUUUAGUAAACAAAAUUGUCCAAAGGGAAAUCAUUAGCAAAAUCAGAUCCUCUCAAGGUGCUCAGUGGAAAGUAAAAUUGCCUCAUUACAUAAAACACUAGACACAGAGCAUAUCGAGUUCAACACCUGCUAGUGAGGGUGAUGGGGAGGAGAUUUUUUGUUUCCCAACAAAACAAUCUCAUUCUCAAUAUGCCGAAUCACCAUGUAAUAACACAGGUGCAUGUAUGACAGUGAAUAUAUGAUAAAAAUGGAAACAAAAUUUGAAAAUGUUUUGUCAAUGGUUGGAAAAGGGGCUUUCUGGAUCUCAGUUAAACCUGAUGAAAAAGAAUCUCUGCAGUUUGGAUCUUUUCUGCUCAAGAAGAAGAAUGGACAUUUCUUUAUUUCUUUCUGCACAAAGAAAAACAUGGUAUGCCUGUGUAUUUUUAAAAAAACAAACAAACUAUAAACAACCUUCAAAGCUG